AGUGGCGGACGGGUAGUCAACGUAAGCAUCUGCCCUAGGAGGGGGAAAAAACUCGGAAACGGUUCUAACCCCCAUAUGCUUUCGAGUGAAACGGAACCCUCCGCCUAGAGAGAAGCCCGCGGCUGAUUAGCCCGUCGGUAAGGUAAUCGGCUUACCAAGGCGACGAUCAGUAUCUGGUUUGAGAGGAUGAUCAGACACACUCGGAACUGAGACACGGUCCAGACUCCUACGGGAGGCAGCAGUAGGGAAUCCUCCGCAAUGGGCGAAAGCCUGACGGAGCAAUCUCGCGUGAGGGAUGACGGCCUAUGGGUUGUAAACCUCUUUUUUUCAGGGAGGAAUAACUGACGUGUACCUGAAGAAUAAGCAUCGGCUAACUCCGUGCCAGCAGCCGCGGUAAGACGGAGGAUGCAAGUUGUUUAUCCGGAAUCACUUGGGCGUAAAGCGUCUGUAGGUGGUUUAAUAAGUCAACUUGUUAAAUCUUUGAAGCUCAACUUUCAAAAUCGCAGUCGAAACUAUUAGACUAGAGUAUAGUAGGGGUAAAGGGAAUUUCCAGUGGAGCGGUGAAAUGCGUAGAGAUUGGAAAGAACACCGAUGGCGAAGGCACUUUACUGGGCUAUUACUGACACUCAGAGACGAAAGCUAGGGUAGCAAAUGGGAUUAGAUACCCCAGUAGUCCUAGCCGUAAAC
rnacentral:rRNA from 1 species